UCUUAUGAUUAAAUAAAUUUAGUUUGCAGUUGAUAAAUAAAGUUGGGCACUUUAUUUAGGUAUAGACUGUAAUAAAUUCAUUGAAUGAUUUGUCUUAAUCAUAUAUGAAUUUAUUGAUGUAGUACGACUACAUUGAACAGGAUCACAUAUGAGAUUUAAUUAACUUUGUAAUAACUGUUAGACUUAUUAAAUCUCAUAGGCGUUGAUUUUACUGUAAUCUUAAUCUUGAGUUAAUUAUGAUUUCAUGAUUGUAAUUGUUAUUCCAUUUGAGUUACCAAUGAGCCCGACACAUCCUUGUGGUCCAGAUCACCCGGUAUCUUGGUGGGAGCAAUUAUGAGUAUUGGAGUUAUGGAUUAACAAUAUAGAAUUUGUACAACACAUCUCUUGAUGGGUUUUCGGCACUUGAUCAUAGAAUUCUCUGGCCAGAGUGUGUCAACAUAUUUAGUAUGUUGAAAAUGAUCAUUAGAGAAAACCAGUAAGGAUCAAGGAAUAAGAUGUUAUUAAAUUGAUUGGACAGUUGAGAUCUCAAUUUAAUUAACGAUGUGGUACAAAGGAUUGUGCAAUAAAGAAAUCAAUGUGGCUUGGGACGAAUUAUUAUUCGAGCAUAUAAUUAUGGAAGUCCGUUCCAAUCUUUUAGUGGAGUAGAUUUGGAAUUAAAUAAUUGAGCUAAUUUAAUUACAGGCCUAAUUAUUGUAGCCACUAUUGUAUGUUCCCAAAUGAUCCCCGGGUUAGCUCAUUUAAUUGACUGCACCACUACUGGACUAAUAAGUAAGAUAACUAGCUAUUUGGGUCAAAAGCCUAAAUAUAUCAUUUAGUGGGAGGCUCCAUUUAAUUAGCUUUUGUGUAAGAGGCCUUAUGUUAUUUUAUAAGGUGGGUCCCCUAUAGAAAAAGCAUAUAACGUGAGUUUUGUUUUUUGAAUUAUUUGGAGCCUAGGGUUUUCACUAAAGGGUGAUAUAAAAGGCUUAUUUUCUCUAAAGGAAAAAAGGGUAGCCACUUUAUACAGAUCAGAGAAAAAGAUUUUUCUCUCUAUUGUUGAGAGAAAAAUUUUCUCGUACUAGUUGCUUUGGUAGUGAUAAAGGCGCCCACAUGUCAAGUGCAGAUCGAACCUGAGUCAUAACCUGGAAGAUCAUUGGUGACAGUUCGUGAUCUAACAAGCGUGGUGGUGACGGAUCGUGAUCUAACAGAAGUGGUGGUGGCAGAUCGUGAUCUAACAGGAGUGGUGGUGGCGGAUCGUGAUCUAGGAUCCUAAAUCACUUCAGCGGAAAAAGCCAACUCGGAUUUUCAAGGUACGAUUUCUGGAUUACAUAUUCUUGUAUAUUAUAUGAGAGCGGUCCUUAAAAGGUUUUAUAAAAUUUUAAAAAACCUGAUUUUUCCCCAACAAUUAAUAUAUUGGGCCAUAUUUAAUCUUGCUUUAUUUAACAUCGAAUUCGCUAAGCUUCUAUUCUCUUUAAUUUUGAUUCCUUAAAGCACAAUUUGUCCUCAAUCUUCAAUUUAUUACCCUGUUCAAUAAAAUAAAUUAAUUAACUAAAAUUAAUAAAUAAAAUUAACUAACAAAUAUAUAAUAAAGGGUAAAAUAUAUAGGUAAAUUGUGCCUCUUACGAGAUCAUGUUCCUGUCAAGAUACAAAAGUUGUCUUGAAACAACUUUUUUGAAUAAAAAUAAGGACAAUUUGCAAGAAAAAUUUUAUUUCAGUUUGUAUUGUUGCAUGCUAACAUAUCAAUCUACAUUGCUUCCUCAAAUUACACAUCAUCUAACAUCAUUAUACAUUUACAUCGUCUAACAUCAUUAUACAUUGCUUAGAAACUAUAAUACUUAUUACAUAUCAUCUCAUUAUACAUUCUUGCAUCAAUAAUCGUUCUCAUCCAUUGGAGCUGCUUUAGGCUCUUCUUCCAAAGUCAAAAGCAUCCGGAAGCCCCUCCCCUCAGAAUUUUUGAAUUCUUGUUGAAUUGUAUCCUUAGAAACAUCACUCAACUAGCGGGAAAGGAUCACUGCCAAAGGUUUUUGAACCCCCUUAAGUAAAUAGAUACAAUUCAUUUUCAGGAAAAGAAAGAACUGCUUCAUGUUCCUAACUAUGAUAUUUGAGAGGUCAAUUCUAUAAUACCUUUGGCUAUUCAAUCGAUCAAUAGUAUUGUAACUUUCACGAGCAGCGCGUUGCAUGGCAGAAAAGUCCUCAUGAAGUUCAUCAGUGGACUCUACUGAUUCAUCCAUUGAAAGAAAAAAGAAUCUGAUUUGACCAAAAUUUAAACCUUUUAAAUUCAACUUGAGUUUGACAAGAAUCUAAACCAUGUUGGCUUUUAUAAUAACAACCUAAAUAUUUAAGCAUAAGCUUAUGACAUCUAUAUUCAAUUGUUUCAUUUCUUUUUGACUAAGCAAUGGAUCAGUAAAUAAUUUUCAAUUAGGUCUACAUCAGUCAAUAGGCUAACGAUAUUAAAUGAUCCAAAUCCAAAUAGGAUAGGUACUCUUUUGGAGGCAUGGUUGUGUAUUUGAAUAGAAAAAUACAAUGACAAGCAUACAAAACAUUAGCAUUUGAAAGUAUCUAGAGGUAGACAGCCACAAUUUAUUAGGUUAAAUCUUGAACUUCUAAGAUCUUUAGAAAACAGUAGAGUCAUGAGGUGAUAGCUAAAUUUCUGCUUUUCUAAAUGUGAGUAGAGUAAACGUCCCUCAAAUAUUAAGAGUAGAUGUCCCUCGAAUAUUAGAGAGGGUUAACUAGAGAAGACGUCCCUUUCGAAAUAUGAGUGAAGUAGAUGUUUAUUGAAUAUUAGGAGUAGACGUUCCUCGAAUAUUAGAGAGGGUUAAGUGGAGUAGACGUCCAGUUCACUCACAUUUCGAAAAGGAAGUGGACAUCCUUUUCACAUCCUUUUCGAAAUGUGAGUGAACUGAAUGUCCUAUUUCAAAAUGUGACUAGAAUAGAAUGUCUCUCGAAUAUUAGAGAAAGUUAAGUAAAGUGGACAUCCCUUUAGAAAUGUGAGUGAAGUAGACGUUCAUUGAAUAUUAGGAGUAGAUGUCCCUCGAAUAUUAAAGAAGGUUAAGUUGUGGAGUAAAUAUUUCUCGAAUAUCAGGAGUAGAUGUUCCCCGAAUAUUAAAGAGGGUUAAAUGGGGUAAACAUCCCUCGAAUAUUAGAAAUGAUUAUAUAAGAUUUAAUUUAAUUAGUCCUAGUAAAUAUAUGAUUGAGCACUAGAGAGGGUUAACUGGAGUAGACGUCCCUUGAAUAUUAAAAAUGAUUACAUAAGAUUUAAUAUCAGUAGUCCCAAUAAUUAUCUAAUUGUAAAUAUAUCAGUAUUAAUCUCAUGUAAUCUGAUAUUAGUCUUAUGUAAUUCAAAAAAAAAAAAAAAGCCUACCUGACCCACCUUUCACGUUACAAACAAAACUUUAGAAAACCUUAUAUACAAAUGAGUUGAACUAUUAGCACUCCUCUAAAAUCUUUUUAAAAUCCCCUUUUCAAUUACAUUCUAUUAAUACCCUUUUUGCAAAUAAAUCACUUUUUCGAGCCUUCACUCUACAAAACCCGCAAUCAUUAACUUCCCACAACAAAAAAAUCAAUAUGAAAAAGGAAAGAAAAAAAUGAAUUAUUAAUGUUUUAGGUUUGUGCAAAUAAGUUGUAUAGAGGAGACUACUAGAAGAAAAAAGAGAGAGAGAGAAAUAUGUAAAAUUGAUUCAAUUGAUUUUGGGUUGCAAGGGAAGGAAAAAUUAUAUUAAAUGUUUUAUUAUCAAGUUGUAGCAAAUGAUUCAACUUAGGUAUAGAUUUUAAGUUCGUUAAUUAUGUGAGGAUUUAAUCAUUUGGAGGAAGACAUUCCAAGUAUUACAAAAUAUUAUUUUUGAG
rnacentral:lncRNA from 1 species